rnacentral:rRNA from 1 species
GACGAACGCUGGCGGCAUGCCUAAUACAUGCAAGUCGAGCGAACAGAUGAAGUGCUUGCACUUCUGACGUUAGCGGCGAACGGGUGAGUAACACGUAAGGAAUCUACCUAUAAGCGGGGGAUAACAUUCGGAAACGGGUGCUAAUACCGCAUAAUAUCUUCUUCCGCAUGGAAGAAGAUUGAAAGACGGCUCUGCUGUCACUUAUAGAUGACCUUGUGGUGCAUUAGUUAGUUGGUGGGGUAAUGGCCUACCAAGACGAUGAUGCAUAGCCGACCUGAGAGGGUGAUCGGCCAAAUUGGGACUGAGACACGGCCCAAACUCCUACGGGAGGCAGCAGUAGGGAAUCUUCCACAAUGGACGAAAGUCUGAUGGAGCAACGCCGCGUGAGUGAUGAAGGUUUUCGGAUCGUAAAACUCUGUUGUAAGGGAAGAACAAGUACGUUAGGAACUGAACGUACCUUGACGGUACCUUAUUAGAAAGCCACGGCUAACUACGUGCCAGCCGCCGCCGUAA